AAAAAGUUGCGUUUGAAUGUGUGCUCGGACAAAAGAAAAGGAAACAUUGUCGGUGCCAAAACCCAAACAGAGAAACAAAGAUUAAACUCUGAAAAAAGCCCAAACAAGCGAGAGAGAGAGAGAUAAAUACAGAACCUUGGAGCAGAUGGAAAGAUAAGAGCCUUCAGUCUCACUAUGACCACUCCACCGUGCAGCUCAGAGCAACCAACAACCGAUCAGUGAGAGUGGAAAUAUUACAUCUACUUUUCAUGGAUGUAGUAAUUAUCAUGUCUUCUUGAGUUUCAGAGGCGAAGAUACUUGCAAGACUUUUACCGACCACCGCUCCAUAGCCUUGGUCAACGCCAUGUAAGCCGUGGGUGAAGAAUCUUAAAACCAUAGCUUAUGAUGGAGAAGAUGUGUUGGAUGAAAUCAAUUGUGAAGUUCUUCGGCAUAAAGUAGAAUUGGAGAACCAUAUAAAGAAAAAGGUACUAAUCUUUCUUUCUGCCUCCGAUCCCACUUUGUUUCGUCAGAAAAUGGAACAUAGAAUGAAGUCUAUGAAAGCAUCUUUGGUGAGUGAGGCAUCUUUCAUUGAACUAGUUGAUAAGAAAAAACACAAAGAUGCAACCCUUCAAGCAAUAGAGGACACAGAAAGCAACUCAUUCUUUGGUAAGGAUGAAUACAUCGUUGGAAGAAAGGAGGAAGUGUCAAGUAUAGUUGCAACCUUGAUUAUCUCCAACAGUCAAGAAAGUAUUUUGGUUAUUGUAGGAAUGGGUGGUGUAGGAAAGAUAACUUCGGAUGGGUUAGUGUACAAUGAACCUGACAAAGAAAAGAUAUGUCGUCGUCCUUGAUGACAUUUGGAACGAAGAUGAACAAAAAUGGAAUAGUUUGAUGAGUUAUUUGUCAAAAUUCCAUUUCGCUUAGGGGAUCACCAAUAUUGUCACUAAACCUUCUAUGAAAUAAUGUUUUGCAUAUUGCUCAAUGUUCAUGAAAGAUUUCAAUUGGUGAGUUGAAACACUUGAGGUAUCUGGAUGUUUCUAGAACCAGUAUCAAAGCACUCUCCAAUUCUAUUGGAAAAAUUUGUAAUCUACAAACAUUGAGUAUGAGAUACUGUUUCUCACUUGAAGAGUUUCCAAAGAAACUGCAAAAUUUGAUCAACUUGAGGCACAUUUAGUUUGAUGGACAUAUGAGAUUUCCCGUUGGUGUGGGGUGACCAACUAAUCUCCAAAUAUUAUCUAAAGUUGUAGUAAUGGAAGGGUUGGGGAAUAUGUGCAACAUGAAGAAGAAGCAUUGAAAGAAAAUUUAGUGGGAAAGGCAAACAUAUACAUUUUAAGAUUUGUAAGGGACCCAAAUAGGCUAAGGAGCAACAAGGAGGAUAAUGUACUAGAAGGCCUCCAACUGCACCCUAAUUUGGAAAUUUUAGAGAUGGAUAAUUUCAUGGUUGCUACAUUUCCAUCAUCGAUGAUCAUGAGUUUGUCGUUGCCAACUCUCAGUAAUCUACUAAAUCUCAGACAUCUUGAGAUAAAUAGAUGGAUAACUUCAAAACGUGUGGCAGCUAAGUUUUAUGGAUAUGAUGUAGUAGUUACGAGCAAGCAGACAAGGGCUUUGUUUGUCUUGAAGAUAUUCAAAUUAGUGAAUGGGCCACAGAACCCCAUCUCUCCUGAGGAUUUGAAGAUAACUUCGUGAGUUGAGGGUUGUAGCAUGUGAUCGAUUCACGAGUCUACUAGUGAACCAGAAUCCCAUACUUGCCUAUGACUCAGAAUUUACGGUAUUCCAGAUGACAGAGAAUACAUGAUAUGGUUAAACCAUUGGAAGUUGGAGAAUCACUAGAAGGUGGCGACACAGUGGUUGUUUGAGAACCUCUGAUUCAGGUAAAGGAAUGUGGCAUCCAGCUAAUAGAGCAGGAGCAAGAAGAGAGUAUGAAUACGCAACAUGACACCAGG